AUGAGACAGGAGCAGAUACCCAGUGUACAUUCAGACCCUUUGGCUUGUCUGGCCCGUGAACAGAGCCACACUCUUGCUGCUGCGAACAAGCCAUCUUUAUCACACCUUAUGGCUUCUGGACUGAAUGGAGGGCUCCUGGUCCGCAGUGCUCUCUGCCAAACCACCUGCCUGCUGCUGCCCAACAGUGUACUGGGCCCAGCCCCCAUCCACCUGGACCUACUUGAGCAGCUGCUGAGGACAGGCUGCCACCUGGUGGCCGGGAGGAUGACUGUCCUGGAUGAGACCCAGAGAUGUCACAUAGCUGAGACACUGAUGCUACCCUCUGAGAGGGAUGGGAAGAUUUGUGCUCUACCCGAGGGCCCUUGUCUUAUCGUUGUUCUACAGAAAGAUAACGUUGUGACCUGCUUUGACUCCAUGCUUGAAAGGCAUUGCAGCUUCUGUGCUAUCUAUUUGAUGUCCUGUCUCCUGAUAGUCAUCAUGCCAUUGUACCACAGCAAUCUGAGUGAACCUUAA
rnacentral:lncRNA from 1 species